GCAGUGGUGAUUCAGUGGUAGAAUCCUUGCCUUCCAUGCAGUAGACCUGGGUUCAAUUCCAGGCCAGUGUA
rnacentral:tRNA from 1 species